CGCUUUCGGGUGUCGCUGAUGGAUGGACCCGCGGUGCAUUAGCUAGUUGGUGAGGUAACGGCUCACCAAGGCCACGAUGCAUAGCCGACCUGAGAGGGUGAUCGGCCACAUUGGGACUGAGACACGGCCCAAACUCCUACGGGAGGCAGCAGUAGGGAAUCUUCGGCAAUGGACGAAAGUCUGACCGAGCAACGCCGCGUGAGUGAAGAAGGUUUUCGGAUCGUAAAACUCUGUUGUUAGAGAAGAACAAGGAUGAGAGUAACUGUUCAUCCCUUGACGGUAUCUAACCAGAAAGCCACGGCUAACUACGUGCCAGCAGCCGCGGUAAUACGUAGGUGGCAAGCGUUGUCCGGAUUUAUUGGGCGUAAAGCGAGCGCAGGCGGUUUCUUAAGUCUGAUGUGAAAGCCCCCGGCUCAACCGGGGAGGGUCAUUGGAAACUGGGAGACUUGAGUGCAGAAGAGGAGAGUGGAAUUCCAUGUGUAGCGGUGAAAUGCGUAGAUAUAUGGAGGAACACCAGUGGCGAAGGCGGCUCUCUGGUCUGUAACUGACGCUGAGGCUCGAAAGCGUGGGGAGCAAACAGGAUUAGAUACCCUGGUAGUCCACGCCGUAAACGAUGAGUGCUAAGUGUUGGAGGGUUUCCGCCCUUCAGUGCUGCAGCUAACGCAUUAAGCACUCCGCCUGGGGAGUACGACCGCAAGGUUGAAACUCAAAGGAAUUGACGGGGGCCCGCACAAGCGGUGGAGCAUGUGGUUUAAUUCGAAGCAACGCGAAGAACCUUACCAGGUCUUGACAUCCUUUGACCACUCUAGAGAUAGAGCUUCCCCUUCGGGGGCAAAGUGACAGGUGGUGCAUGGUUGUCGUCAGCUCGUGUCGUGAGAUGUUGGGUUAAGUCCCGCAACGAGCGCAACCCUUAUUGUUAGUUGCCAUCAUUCAGUUGGGCACUCUAGCAAGACUGCCGGUGACAAACCGGAGGAAGGUGGGGAUGACGUCAAAUCAUCAUGCCCCUUAUGACCUGGGCUACACACGUGCUACAAUGGGAAGUACAACGAGUUGCGAAGUCGCGAGGCUAAGCUAAUCUCUUAAAGCUUCUCUCAGUUCGGAUUGUAGGCUGCAACUCGCCUACAUGAAGCCGGAAUCGCUAGUAAUCGCGGAUCAGCACGCCGCGGUGAAUACGUUCCCGGGCCUUGUACACACCGCCCGUCACACCACGAGAGUUUGUAACACCCGAAGUCGGUGAGGUAACCUUUUGGAGCCAGCCGCCUAAGGUGGGAUAGAUGAUUGGGGUGAAGUCGUAACAAGGUAGCCGUAUCGGAAGGUGCGGCUGGAUCACCUCCUUUCUAAGGAA
rnacentral:rRNA from 1 species